rnacentral:rRNA from 1 species
AACGAACGCUGGCGGCAUGCCUAACACAUGCAAGUCGAACGAGAUCUUCGGGUCUAGUGGCGCACGGGUGCGUAACGCGUGGGAAUCUGCCCUUUGGUUCGGAAUAACAGCUGGAUACGACUGCGAAUACCGGAUGAUGACGAAAGUCCAAAGGAUUACCGCCAGAGGAUGAGCCCGCGUAGGGGUGGCUAGGUGGUGGGGUAACGGCGCACCAAGGCGACGAUCCUUGGCUGGUCUGAGAGGAUGAUCAGCCACACUGGAACGGAGACACGGACCAGACUCCUAGGGAUGGCGUCAGUAGGGAAUUUGGCGCAAUGGGCGAAAGCCUGACGCAGCAACGCCGCGUGGAGGAUGAAGCCCCUCGGAGUGUAAAGUUAUGUCAGUGGUGACGAAACUUGACGGUACCCACAGAGGAAGCACCGGCUAACUCCGUGCCAGCCGCCGCCGUAA